AAUAAUAUAUAUCUCACCACAAUUGCUGACUCCGUGGUUGAACAUUUCACAACCUAAGCAUUGAAUUUGUUGCGUGGUUUGAUUGAAGUUGCAAUUGAUACCCUUUCCACAUUGGUCCCUGCAAACAAGUGGUGACCAAGUCAACCAGAAUCCUUUUUCCAGAGAUUUGAGGAUAUCAGCGUAGGAAACCUUCCCAUCAUGUGUCCUGUGUCUAUAGGAAACAUCACUGCUAUGUGACCCGUUUGCGAAGGUAGCAACCUUUAAUCUGCACCCGGCCUUCACAUCCAUUACUCUAAAUGUCGUACCAAGAUAAACGGCGUAGAUAACGCCUCCGGAGUCACAACAGCCUGCUUUCACUUUCACAUAUCGCGGAUCAUCACUCACUCGGUUACUACAUUUUACAAACGCUACUCCUGUACUAAAACAAUCAUCCGACAAAGUCAGCGGAUCAUUACUAAGAUAAUCAUGACUGAAAUUUCGGUGGGAUAAGAAAUAGCGAGGAAAAGAGCAAGAAUUGUCCUCCACAACACCCGAAUCAAUCACCCGGAUCUGUUCGUAGCUGGGAAGGCCGCAACCGCCAGGGUCUCCUUUCAGUCGGAAUGGAUAUCUUAUGUCGCCAAUUUCUCCGCAUGAAGAAGAUGGACAGGAUGUGUGAUGCUUGGCACUGCAAGUUUGUUGGAACAGAGCAAAUAUGAGGGCCACAGAGACAACCACUGAUUGUGGGCAGCGAGAGCAAGAAGGUAAGACACUCAUUGUUACCUCUCCUCCUCACAUUCAAGAAAAUGCACUUAAAUAUUAAUUUAGACAGGACCGCUAGUUGAAAUUAUUAAUAAAUUAAUUAUGUAAAUGACUUAACA
rnacentral:sRNA from 1 species